AGAACGAACGCUGGCGGCAUGCCUAAUACAUGCAAGUCGAACGAACUCUUCGGAGUUAGUGGCGCACGGGUGCGUAACGCGUGGGAAUCUGCCCCUUGGUUCGGAAUAACAGUUGGAAACGACUGCUAAUACCGGACGAUGACGAAAGUCCAAAGAUUUAUCGCCAAGGGAUGAGCCCGCGUAGGAUUAGCUAGUUGGUGAGGUAAAGGCUCACCAAGGCAACGAUCCUUAGCUGGUCUGAGAGGAUGAUCAGCCACACUGGGACUGAGACACGGCCCAGACUCCUACGGGAGGCAGCAGUAGGGAAUAUUGGACAAUGGGCGAAAGCCUGAUCCAGCAAUGCCGCGUGAGUGAUGAAGGCCUUAGGUUGUAAAGCUCUUUUACCCGGGAUGAUAAUGACAGUACCGGAGAAUAAGCUCCGCUAACUCCGUGCCAGCAGCCGC
rnacentral:rRNA from 1 species